rnacentral:rRNA from 1 species
AACGAACGUUAGCGGCGCGCCUGACACAUGCAAGUCGAGCGAGAAAGGGCUUCGGCCCCGGUAAAGCGGCGCACGGGUGAGUAACACGUGGAUAACCUACCCCUUGGUGGUGGAUAACCUUCCGAAAGGAGGGCUAAUACAGCGUAAGACCACGACUUCGAAAGAGGUUGGGGUAAAAGUGGGCCUCUGUACACAAGCUCACGCCAGGGGAUGGGUCCGCGGCCCAUCAGCUAGUUGGUAGGGUAACGGCCUACCAAGGCGAAGACGGGUAGCUGGUCUGAGAGGAUGAUCAGCCACACUGGAACUGAGACACGGUCCAGACUCCUACGGGAGGCAGCAGUGGGAAUCUUGCGCAAUGGACGAAAGCCUGACGCAGCCAUGCCGCGUGAAUGAUGAAGGUCUUAGGAUUGUAAAAUUCUUUCACCGGGGACGAUAAUGACGGUACCUUUUUAGCAAGCACCGGCUAACUCUGUGCCAGCAGCCGCGGUAAU